rnacentral:rRNA from 1 species
AUUGAACGCUGGCGGCAGGCCUAACACAUGCAAGUCGAGCGAGCGGCGGACGGGUGAGUAAUGUAUGGGGACUGCCCGAUAGAGGGGGAUAACUACUGGAAACGGUAGCUAAUACCGCAUACUAUCGGAUAACCCAUAUGGGAUUAGCUAGUAGGUGAGGUAAUGGCUCACCUAGGCGACGAUCCCUAGCUGGUCUGAGAGGAUGAUCAGCCCAACUUGGACGUAGAAACGGCCCAGACUACUACGGAGGCAGCAGGGGGGAAUAUUGGACAAUGGGCGCAAGCCGGAUGGAGCCAUGCCGGGUGUAAUAAGAAGGCCCUAGGGUUGUAAAGUACUUUCAGUCGGGAGGCGUUACCGACAGAAGAAGCACCGGCUAACUCCGUGCCAGCAGCCGCGGUAAUUC